rnacentral:rRNA from 1 species
AUUGAACGCUGGCGGCAGGCCUAACACAUGCAAGUCGAACGCGUGGCGGACGGGUGAGUAAUGUCUGGGAAACUGCCUGAAGGAGGGGGAUAACUACUGGAAACGGUAGCUAAUACCGCAUACCCUCAGAUGUGCCCAGAUGGGAUUAGCUAGUUGGUGGGGUAAGUGCUCACCAGGGCGACGAUCCCUAGCUGGUCUGAGAGGAGGACCAGCCACACUGGAACUGAUACACGGUCCAGACUCCUACGGGAGGCAGCAGUGGGGAAUAUUGCACUAUGGGCUCAAGCCUGAUGCAGACAUGCCGCGUGGAUGAAGAAGGCCUUCGGGUUGUAAAGUACUUUCAGCGGGGAGGCGUUACCCGCAGAAGAAGCACCGGCGAACUCCGUGCCAGCAGACGCGGUAAUUC